UACGUAGGGAGCAAGCGUUGUCCGGAAUCAUUGGGCGUAAAGCGCGCGUAGGCGGCCCUGUAAGUCCGUUGUGAAAGUCAAAGGCUCAACCUUUGAAAGCCGAUGGAUACUGCAGGGCUAGAGUCCGGAAGAGGCGAGUGGAAUUCCUGGUGUAGCGGUGGAAUGCGCAGAUAUCAGGAGGAACACCAAUAGCGAAGGCAGCUCGCUGGGACGGUACUGACGCUGAGGAGCGAAAGCGUGGGGAGCGAACAGG
rnacentral:rRNA from 1 species